UGCCCAAUGGGCAUUGAAACUCCCUCGGACGUCCGGAUAAGAUCCCGACGUCCAAGUCCUACAGCAGUCGUCCUGGGGACAUCCAGUGGAUAUCAUUAUCGGACUAACUUUAACAUCCACUUCUUAUCCUCCUGCGGACAUCCUUAGGUCAUUCGUGCUGGACAUUUCGCCAAUAUCCUGAGCAUGACUUUGUUCGGAUUUGAGUGACGAACUGCUCCCUUGCUGAGCAUUUCUGCGCUUGCAAAUACCAACGUAGAACCGACCUCGAGUUCGUUCAAGCUAUAGCCACAGCUAACUUUGUUCAAUAGAGGCAUCAACGUUUGUCGGCGAAAUAUCAACGAGUCUUCAAACAUGCGGCAUCAAAUAAACCACAUUCGAUCUAAUUCUACCCGCCCAUGGGAUUUCCUUCUUCUGGUGGAGAGCAUACAGGUACCCACGGAGGCAGGUUAGUGGACUGGUUCUAAUUAUAACGAACAGCGUGAUCGUAAAAGGUACGUGCAUGCACAUGUGACCGCCUCAUUAUUAUUACUUGCAGAGCCACAGAACGAUUUCUGUGCUUACAGUGCUCACGCGUUAUCACGCAUAUCCUUUGUGAGCCAUCACGCUCGCCAGGCAUCGAUGUGACCAGAGAUCAACGGCGCCAUUGUAUAGUUGACGUCCAUUCACGACGCUUUUCAAAUAAUAAUAAUUAACAGCAGCCACACAUUUGGAAACUUCAUAAAUAUUUCGAUCUUCUCUAAAGAUGCAGAAAACGCGCCGCAAGCAUACCCAAUACUACCAAUGCAAUCUUUUCUGAAGCUUCGCAUACCCUGCAUUUUUUUUUUUUUGCGGGAGGCUAUUUCUUUUUAUCGCGCGGGUUCUUUCCGGCAAUAUUUUUGGAAGUGUGCAUCGGCAGAAUUUCACUGGUGGCAUUAACCCUUUCGUGUUUACAUUGAUGUUGUGACAGUUAACAACACAAUAAUUUCCAGUCAUUCGAAGAGGCGCCGUCGGAAACAAGAGACGUUUCGCGCGCAGCGCGAGCUAAGCGCGGGCGCGACCUUGACGGGAAGCAGCGAAAACGUACACCUGUGGGAGGUGAAAUCAUUCCGCCGGGAGAGAAGCGAGCACCAUGCGAGUGCUGGCCUCUAGGAUGAAACUUGGCCGGCGAAAAAGGCGCGAAGGCGAGCGUUUCGCGCGUUUAUUGUGAGUGCGGAGGCGCCAUUUUCAGUUGUCACUACGGCUGCGCAAGGUGGUCAAGACUGUUGUUUCUUUCUCCUGAGCUCCUGGCCGGGUUGGCCCCGCAGUAAAGAUUCUGAGUGACAAAAGGGUGUGAAAUAGAAGGCAUCAAGGCAUCAGUGGGCAUUUUGUCUUCACUGAGUACUUCAAUGAGUGAAGGGCAGCCAGUCCACUGCAGUCUUUCUUUCUCGCAAGUCAUGGCUGCAUGCUUCUGAACGGCCUUUUUUGUGUGUAUCGAUCUUAAUAGAUUUGCUGUUGACAUGUCUCCUUUCUUGUAGUCCUCUCACUAUAUUUCUAUUAUUUUGUAAUCGAUUCCAUUGCAGUAUUUUUGUCAGUCUUAUGCGGCUAUUUCCGUUGCAGUUUGUGUUACCACUAAAGAAAGCUGAACUAGCUGGUAAAUGUUCACACUUUUGCAUACAGCACAACAUGCAUAAAUGCACAGUACCACUUGUGUGUACUUCCUGUUGUCCAUUGUCAUGUUACGUGGUAUUGUAGGAACCACGCUAAAGUGUAAGCUUACUACUAUCUCAAUUCAAGUGAUGGCUAAGUUCUAGUGUGUUGCAAGGUGAGGCUACGAAACAGUUUGAUUACAUUUUAUUAUGCCUCUUUUGUGUUACGAUGUGGCCGUGAGUCGGAAAGGCUGCACUAUAUUGAGCAGUACUGCAUGAUGACUCCAGUUUCAGUAUAUAUCAACCGUUCCGUUCAUUGCUAUUUACUUCUUUUCCUCAGGAAGAGGUGGCAGGGCUACUAGCAUGUAUAUAGCAAGUCAAUGCUACACAUAUUUCACAUUUAACCAUUCUGUGUCACUUCCAUAUUUAUGUUUAUUUGUUACAAACAAUAAUUUCCUUGAUAGUUAUUUCACUGUGAAGUAUUUAUCAUUUAUGCUGGUCUUUGCUGGCGGCAAAAAGUCUGCUCUCUUCUACGUGGCAGGGCUACUAGCAUGUAGCAAGUCAAUGCUACACAUAUUUCACAUUUAACCAUUCUGUGUCACUUCCAGAUUUAUGUUUAUUGGUUACAAACAAUAAUUUCCUUGAUAGUUAUUUCACUGUGAAGUAUUUAUCAUUUAUGCUGGUCUUUGCUGGCGGCAAAAAGUCUGCUCUCUUCUAGUCGUUUUACUUUUAUGCGUAGCGUUGUAUUUGUUUUCUUGCUGUCAGCCCAGAGUUUUUAUCUAGUACAUAGCGAGAAUCACUGUUUCAGUUCUUAUUUGCAUUUUGUUUUACUGUGACUUACUUUUUCGAGAAGAAACAGUAUUUUAUUUGUAGUGCAUUGCAAGUUUGUCACAUUUCAGCUACUGUUUGCAUAGUUUUGUUCAUAUGCAUGUGUAAACCAAGGAGGGAUCAUUUGCCGUUUCCAAGGUAUUGCUAGAAUAUGAAAAAAAAGGCGCAGUCCAGAUAAUUUAUGUCUCAGCUGUGUGAUAUUUUAGGUGUGAGGAUUGCUAGUACCUUUAUGUUCCUUGUAGACUCAUUACUGAAUGUAGUGAAACGCGAUAGCGUACUGAUCGCCAACUUUUUUUUCGGGGAUAGGAGCCUCACCUCAAGACUCAUUCACGCUAAUGAAACAGUGAAUGCCUGCGCUCUGUUGCUUUCUCGUAUACCAUGUGGCAUUCUGAGCUUUUUUCUCAUGCUCCCUGAUGUCAAGGUGAAGAAUAAUCGUACUAUAGUGAAAGAAGUGUACCAUGCUUUUGAAGUACCCUGAGUGCUACACCUGGCCCUGCCCACCUUGAUGUUUCUAAAGAUAUACUACCGAUAGUGGUGCUUAGUAAACACUCUUAUAUUAUGUGAUCACAUCUCACUCUUGUAGCCCUUGGGGGCUGGAAAUUUUAAUGUACUGCUGUAAAAGCUGUCACCUGCAGACUUUGUCUUAGUUUGUGCUAAUAAGUUGUUGGCUUUUAUUAUAAUGCAGGACUGUCACAUACUCUUUCUCUGAAUGUUACAGGUUUGCAGUAUAUCAAUUGUCUCGUGACCAGUUCUGUGUUUGAGUACUUGUAACACUUGCAUCACUAUACCGGCUCUCCAUGUAUUAAAUCGAGUUUUUGUAAUGGAAAUGAAUAAAAAUUUCUGUGAAAGUGA